UACGUAGGGUGCAAGCGUUGUCCGGAAUUAUUGGGCGUAAAGAGCUCGUAGGCGGUUUGUCGCGUCUGUCGUGAAAGCUUGGGGCUUAACCCCAAGUCUGCGGUGGAUACGGGCAGACUAGAGGCAGGUAGGGGAGAACGGAAUUCCCGGUGUAGCGGUGAAAAGCGCAGAUAUCGGGAGGAACACCGGUGGCGAAGGCGGUUCUCUGGGCCUGUACUGACGCUGAGGAGCGAAAGCGUGGGGAGCGAACAGG
rnacentral:rRNA from 1 species